GCCUUCAAUUGUUUCAUCUCUUCACUCUCUAGGUCUUGGGAUGGUCCUUCAUUAACAGGCUGAUCACUAUUUGGCUUAAAAGGGAGUUUGACUUCCUUUACCCUUUCUAGGAUCCAUGUACGAUAAGUAACUUUGUUGUUGAUGGGUGUCGCGGCCCAUACAAAUUUGAUUGCAUAUGAGAAAUGCAGUAUAGCUAGGAAGUGACUCCUAGGUCGUCUCUUAAGGACCACCUGCAGUUCAAAAUCAGGUCAAACACGAA
rnacentral:lncRNA from 1 species